CCUACGGGAGGCAGCAGUAAGGAAUAUUGGUCAAUGGAGGCAACUCUGAACCAGCCAUGCCGCGUGCAGGAAGACGGCCCUAUGGGUUGUAAACUGCUUUUGAACUAGAGAAAACCUUGGUACGUGUACCGAGUUGAUAGUAUAGUUAGAAUAAGCAUCGGCUAACUUCGUGCCAGCAGCCGCGGUAAGACGAAGGAUGCAAGCGUUAUCCGGAUUCAUUGGGUUUAAAGGGUGCGUAGGCGGACUGAUAAGUCAGUGGUGAAAUUUCUCAGCUUAACUGAGAAACUGCCAUUGAUACUGUUAGUCUAGAGUACAGAUGAUGUGGGCGGAAUAUGACAUGUAGUGGUGAAAUACUUAGAUAUGUCAUAGAACACCGAUUGCGAAGGCAGCUCACAAAACUGUAACUGACGCUGAGGCACGAAAGUGCGGGGAUCAAACAGGAUUAGAUACCCUGGUAGUCCGCACCGUAAACGAUGAUUACUCGUUGUUGGCGAUAUGACAGUCAGCGACCAAGCGAAAGCGAUAAGUAAUCCACCUGGGGAGUACGCCGGCAACGGUGAAACUCAAAGGAAUUGACGGCGNGAGAGNGCGAGGACGACACGAGGGAGAG
rnacentral:rRNA from 1 species